UCCUACGCACUAUUGUUGCUGGAGCCAGGAGGUAGGCUCUGAGAGCAUGUAUUGUUUGUUUUUGUUCAAGAUUGGACUUCCAAGAGCAAUUGAAAAAGUGGCCACAGUUGGACCUCAGUUUUAGCUUUGAAAUUUGAUUAAAAGGAAAGCAUUUCCUUUAGGCAAAUUGAGUAUGAACCAUGAUAUUGAAUUUUACAACUUGAUUAUUUUAUAAUUCUUUUCCUUUUUGCACAUGGUUAUUGAAUUUAAUUUAUACUUUCUAGGACUCUUCAUUUGCUCCACUACAGAAUUGAGGUUGGGAAAUUUCGGAGAAAGAGUACCUUUAAAUGAAUAUUAACAGUGGCAGCAUUUCACAGCUCACCAGGUUUGGUGUCUUUUCCACAGAUCACUAGAAAUUUUUUGUUCAAGCAAUCCAGUAAUAUAACAUCGCAAGAGGUUGCAAGGAACAAAUCUACCUGACUUCAGAUGCAACAAACACACCUGCAAGUGGAUAUGGGCUUAAUAAGAUACACUCUUCAAGAUUUUGGAAUUGGUGGUGAACUUGAAGAUGUGAAGUCUUGAGGACAGGUUGCUACUUUUGGUUUUCAUCUUUCUAAUUUCAGACAGCUCAAAGGAUCACAAAUCACUACUCUAGCUUUGGUUGCUAUUGUCACCAGUAGGAGCUACUGAACUCUCUGUUUUACAUGAAGAAUAUUAUAAAGUCCUAUGUUGAGACAACGUUGCCUGAAAGAGAGAGGAAAAGCUGGUUGCUGUGCCAUUCUUGAGGCACUCAUGUCAAUACCAGUAUUAUGUGAUCUCCAACUAGAAGAAGGUGCUAUGUGAUUGCAGAUUUUGAGACGCAAUAUGUGCAACAUGUUCAAGGCUUCUACAAAUGGUAUACUCGGCAAUUGGGUCACAUAAUUCUAUUUACCGCUUGAUUGAAGAUUUGUGAUGGUUGCUACAACCCAAGUUUACUACCCGCAAUAAAAAAUUCCAAAGAGCGAAAUUUACAUCGAAUGAGUUGCAAUGAUGAAUGUCCUGUUAACAUGUUCUGUUUACUUGAAGUUUAAACCUCCCUUUGCACAGUUAUACUAUGAAGAGCAUGGUGCCCCAAAACUCCAAUUUUCAGCACCUAUAUUUGGUUGAAAAAAAAUUCUGUAGGCAAUUUGUAUGAUAUCAUUUGUGAUUGUGACAUGUCUAGAACUUUUUCAUUUUCCGUGAGUUUUCUAGGAUGUCUUCCAAAAAUAUUUUCCCGAAUUUGUCUUCCUUGGUUACUUCUUCAAUGCUAUCAAGU